UAUGUUGAUUGUGUUAAGCUGAUUAAAUCUAAAGCAUUAUCAUGAAGUAUGUUUUAAAUAUAUAUGUUUUCUACUUCAUGCAACUUAGCUAUGCACUACUUCUAGAACACAAUAUAUUUUAUAUUGCAUAUACUCCAAGUUCUGUCAUCAUCAAAAAGGGGGAGACUGAUGACCCAAAGAUUGAUUUAAAGAUUGAUUUUGAUGAUCACAAAACCUUGAAGUAUAAAUGAUGACCCAAAGAUUGAUUUAAAGAUUGAUUUUGAUGAUCACAAAACCUUGAAGUAUAAAUACUAAUGUUUGUGUU
rnacentral:lncRNA from 1 species